UGGGGAAUAUUGCACAAUGGGCGCAAGCCUGAUGCAGCCAUGCCGCGUGUAUGAAGAAGGCCUUCGGGUUGUAAAGUACUUUCAGUCGGGAGGAAGGUGGUAAGGUUAAUAACCUUAUCAAUUGACGUUACCGACAGAAGAAGCACCGGCUAACUCCGUGCCAGCAGCCGCGGUAAUACGGAGGGUGCAAGCGAUAAUCGGAAUUACUGGGCGUAAAGCGCACGCAGGCGGUCUGUCAAGUCGGAUGUGAAAUCCCCGGGCUCAACCUGGGAACUGCCUUCGAAACUGGCAGGCUAGAGUCUUGUAGAGGGGGGUAGAAUUCCAGGUGUAGCGGUGAAAUGCGUAGAGAUCUGGAGGAAUACCGGUGGCGAAGGCGGCCCCCUGGACAAAGACUGACGCUCAGGUGCGAAAGCGUGGGGAGCAAACAGG
rnacentral:rRNA from 1 species